AAAACUUUCAACAACGGAUCUCUUGGCUCUCGCAUCGAUGAAGAACGCAGCGAAAUGCGAUACGUAAUGUGAAUUGCAGAAUUCAGUGAAUCAUCGAAUCUUUGAACGCACCUUGCGCUCCUUGGUAUUCCGAGGAGCAUGCCUGUUUGAGUGUCAUGA
rnacentral:rRNA from 6 species